UCUAAUAUGGCAGACUAGUGCAGUAGAUUUAAGCUCUACAUAUAAAGAUUAAACUUUUGUUAGAA
rnacentral:tRNA from 1 species